CACACGACUCUCGGCAACGGAUAUCUCGGCUCUCGCAUCGAUGAAGAACGUAGCGAAAUGCGAUACCUGGUGUGAAUUGCAGAAUCCCGCGAACCAUCGAGUCUUUGAACGCAAGUUGCGCCCGAGGCCGCUUGGCUGAGGGCACGCCUGCCUGGGCGUCACGC
rnacentral:rRNA from 1 species